rnacentral:rRNA from 1 species
CUCAAGCGGCGGAGCAUGCGGAUUAAUUAGAUGCAACGCGAAGAACCUUAUCAGGACUUGACAUCUGCGAGAACGCACCUGAAGACGUCACCUCUCCGCUCGAUAGUAACCAGGUCGUGCAUGGUGGUAGUCAGAUCGGGUCGUGAGAUGUGUGGUUAAGUCCCGUAACGAGAGCAACGCUUGUUUUAUGUUGCCAGCACAUAAUUCUGGGAACUCAUGGAAUACUCCCGGGGUCAAUUCGGAGGAAGAAGGGG